ACCAGAGAACAUUCUGAAGGCCGGUUAAGUCGCCUGCCUCAUGAUCUCUGGCAAUCCGAACAAGCACGCAAGACAGAAAUGAGAAAUACCAAUUUCCCCUGUGAAAGUAAGUUUAAGAAAAAUAAAGAGCAGGAUCUGGGAAAUUUUGGUUCUUUUCUUUCCUCCCGUGUUGCAAGCUUGUGUGGUGGUGUUGUGGGAGUCGAAGAGUUUGCCGGUGGUGAGUCUGUUCACUCUCAUGAACCCUCGGCUUCCUGGCAUCAGAGAUCCCCACGCACAGACCCCUCUUUGCCCAUGGCUGUCUCUGCCUCGUCUUCCCCACACCAAAUCUCUUCACCAUGGCGGGCAGCUUUGACUGUCUUCUCAGAUCUUGGCUGUUAGAAUACUCUUUUGUUGACUGGGCUAUCCAUGACUGCAGACACAUGCUGAGCCCUCCGGAUCCUCCAGGAGGAAUCCUACUGUGCAGGUGUUCCUGGAACUGAUACAGGCUGACUCAAGACACAGUUCCCUGAGUCACCCCCCGGCAUGGCCUUUAAGGUUGUUCUUACAUCCUUGAUAGUAUAGAUAUUGGAGACUGUUAAAUAUACAAAUCAUAUGCUGUCCUAAAGCUUUAUGUAUUUUUAUAAGACAAUUAAUCUGGGAUUUUUUCUCACAAUAUAUUGGCUAGCUAACUUGGGUAAAAAUAGGUUUUCAGAGCCAGGAUAGUGAAACACAUCUGUAAUCCCAAUACCCAGGAGGCUGAGACCGAAGGUGAGACAGAAGGAUCACAAGUUCAAGUUAGACUGUGCUGCAUAGCAAGUCUCCACCUUCAACAAUCCCCAAAUAAAUCAAUGAGACUCCUGAAAUGACUGUA